rnacentral:rRNA from 1 species
UAGGGAAUCUUCCGCAAUGGACGCAAGUCUGACGGAGCAACGCCGCGUGAGUGAAGAAGGAUUUCGGUUCGUAAAACUCUGUUGUUAGAGAAGAACAGCGCAUAGAGUAACUGUUAUGCGUGUGCCGGUAUCUAACCAGAAAGCCACGGCUAACUACGUGCCAGCAGCCGCGGUAAUACGUAGGUGGCAAGCGUUGUCCGGAUUUAUUGGGCGGAAAGCGAGCGCAGGCGGUAAAUUAAGUCUGAUGUGAAAGCUCCCGGAUCAACCGGGGAGCGUCAUUGGCAACUGGUUUACUUGGGUGCGGAAGAGGAGAGUUGAAUUCCGUGUGUAGCGGUGAAAUGCGUAGAUAUAUGAAGGAACCCCAGUGGCGAGGGCGACUCUUUGGUCUGUAACUGACGCUGAGGCUCGAAAGCGUAGGUAGCAAACAGG